UACGUAGGGGGCGAGCGUUAUCCGGAAUUACUGAGCGUAAAGCGCACGCAGGCGGUUCGCCAAGUUUGGAGUGACAGUUGUCGGCUCAACCGACAAAGGACUUCAAAAACUGGUGAACUUGAGGACGAGAGAGGAACAUGGAACUCCAGGUGUAGUAGUGAAAUGCGUAGAUAUCUGGAAGAACACCAAUGGCGAAGGCAAUGUUCUGGCUCGUUUCUGACGCUCAGGUGCGAAAGCCAGGGGAGCGAACGGG
rnacentral:rRNA from 1 species